AGGCCAGGCUUCCCCAGGGACCUGUGAGCAGAGGCCGGGCUGCAGCACAACGUCAGCCCAGCAUCCAGGACAUCAGCUACCAAGACGGGAAGCCAGAGAGGGCUGGGGACCACGGGGCCCUGCCGAGAUCUGGAGAAGGAACUGGUGGUCUGGUGAGGAGCUCCAGGAGGGAACAGCCAGGGCAAGGCCCUGAGGUAGAGGCUCCACAUGCAGAGAGAAAGCUAUGGAGGCCGGCUGCUCCAGCUUGGGUGAACUUAAGGGCCACCGGAAGGAAACUGGAUUUUGUCCCCAAUACAACCUGAACAGAUGUCUGGAGGGUGGGGUGAGGAUAUCUCUAUAGCCUGGGCUGACUUGGAAUUCAACAUGUAACUGAGGAAGACUUUGAAUUGUUGACCCUCUUGCCUCCUGGGAUUACAAAUUUGUGCCCAGUUUAUGCAAUGGCCUAGGAUGGCCCCUAGGACCUCCUAACUGAGCCACACCCAGCUCUCUGCUGGCUUUUUACGGGCUCAAGGAGAAGCCAAUCAGAUCUCACAUGUGAGGGGCACACUGCAGGAGGAUUGCAAGGUUGAGAGCCAGACCAGGCUAAGCUACCCGGAGCUGCUGACUGGCAGCUACAGGGCCCUAUAGGACCAGGGUCAGAGGGUAAGUGUGGAAAAGCGACCAAUGGCAAGGCAGGGAAGAGAAGGAACAGCAGGACCGCGGGGGCUUAUUGGACUUUGUAGAUGAAGAACCAGACAGUGCCUGGGAGGGCAAAGGCUGUGCCUGGGAGGGCAAAGGCUGCCCCUGGAGAUGCCGGGGUCAUUCACAGCACAGGAAGAAGAGAGAGUCAAAGGGGCUAUGCUGCGCUGCGUGAGCCAGAGGAGGUGUCCCCUUUGUUGUGAUACAGCUGUGGGGAUCUGCCCUAGCCUGUCCCCUGGAAGCCUAAUACCCCCAUCUGGGAAUCUAGUUCCAUUCCCUCCCACAGAGCACUAAGCAACAAGGCAGGUAGCUUUGUUUCCAGGCCACUGUGGAAAGUUGUCUGGGAGCAGGGCUGCGGGGUGCAGAGACUUCUGGCCCCAUCAUCUCAGCUAGAUGCUAGAGGAGACAGAAGGGAAGACGGAAGAGCAAGCUAGCGAGCGCGCGCUGUGGUGAGCACGCCUGAAUGCCUGAACCCAUCUCCAGUGCUGGUGUGGCAGGACCCUGGGCGGGGUCUGGAACUGGGUUCCGUUGCCUGUUCCAAUAUCAGCCUCAAAAGGAAAAAGAAAAUCUGCCUGCCUGUGUGAAGACUCUUCUUGGAGCACAACUUACACACAGCAGAGCAAAUCAAUUUUUAUGGAUUCUGCUCGAGGACUUGUGUUUUUUCGGAUGUUGCGGCAGGGCUCGCCAUGUCUAUAAACCCUGGAUCUGCACCCUGACCCCUGGGAUCAUUCCAUCUUACUGCUAGGUCCUGGCUACAGGUGCUGGGGGGACUCUCCUCCACUGUGGGGUUUUGUUUGUUUUUGUUUUAUCGGUUUUUUUGAGACAGGGUUUCUCUGUGUAGCCCUGGCUUUCCUGGAACUCACACUGUAGACCAGGCUGGCCUCGAACUCAGAAAUCCACCUGCCUCUGCCUCCCAAGUGCAUUAAAGGAGUACACCACCACUGC